CAUGCUAUAUUGUGGAUAGACUACCCCUUUCCCUUCUCUCCUUCGUAACGCUCUCCUCUCCAACGAUCUCGCUCCAUCUGCUCGUCGUCCCUCUGUAUGCUCGUCAUUGCCGUCGAUUCACCCGCUCACGUCACCAUCGAUUCGUCUGCUCGCAUCACCGUCACUCCAUCUACUCUUCAUCACCGUCAAAGUGCCCGUCCAUUCUAGCUCUGAAAUCUCCAAUGCAGAGUGUUUCUUUGCAUUUUGUUCUCUAAAACCUUGGGUAUGUUCUCAAUCUCUAUCUACCCUAUCUUUCCCCUUAGUUUUUUGUUUAGUCUCUACUUUAUGGUGCUUUUCUUAGUUUUGUUUGACCACUGUAAUUUUGAGGGAUUUUAGGUAAUGAAUUUGGUUGAGAAUCUCAUUUAGGUUUGUAGUAUCUUCCGGGUUACCUGGGUUUGAGGAUGAUUAAUCCACUUUCUAAUUUUUUUUUUUAACUUUUAACUUUGAUUUCUGGGAAACUGCAAUCAAAAUGCAGUUAUGGUUAUAUAUUUAGAAUCGAUUAUGAGUGUUUGCACAGACAUUAUUGUAAGAAGAGUUCAUCUUCUCCUGAUUUACUUUCGUUUUGAAACGUUACUUUAUGGUGCCUACAUAACUUAUUUUUGGAUUGUUGGAAUAACAUUUCAACUUGGUAAAUGUUGCAAUUCUGCAUGUGUAGCUACUUUUGCUUCAUUAAUCAAUAGUUGGUAAUUAUUACACUUGUGGUUAACUUCUGUAAUUUCCACUUUCCAGUAAUAUGUAUGUUAGUUAGCAGGAAAAGUUUUAUCCAUACUUGGUGUUUUUGAAUGGAAACAUAAUAUUCCUAGGAUCAUAUAUCUGUUAUUAGGCCAUAACUUGUGGACACUAGCUGGGGUGUUUUGACUGAUAUGAUUGUGAAGUUUUAUGCUAUUCGAUAUUAUGUUAAAUAGUUACGGUGUGCUUUCAGAAUCCUGGUUAAAGGUUUUGUACUUGAUUGAAGACAUCAUGCUAGUUUUCAAGUUUUCUUGUAUGGCUACUUGGUAAUUGACAAGUGAAUUUUUGCUCGAGGCCACUUUUAGGACUUUAAUUAGUGAAAUUUACAUGUUGUACUACUGGUGUACUGAUUUUAGUGGUAAUCUUGAUUUAAAUUAUUGGUUGUGAAUCUUGUGCUUCAAGUGAAGUACUCUUGGUUGAUGAAUUAUUCCUUCUUAUUGGUAUGGCUCCAACAAAUUUCUUUGCAUCAAUUUCUAGAUAUGGCUUCAACAAAUUUCUUUUCAUCAAUUUCUAGAUAUACAGGAGAGAAGAACUUUUGUAUGCUGUUUUUCUGGCUAGAAUCUGAGACCCUUUUGGCAUGUGCUGCUUCCUUGUUCCUAUGCUAUAGUUUCAGGUGUUGAUGGAUCAUUCAAGUGUUGUUUGCAAAAUCUAUAUCUAACCUGCUACAUUUGGCCAUGCCUAGCAAUUAUGAGUUGCAUAGCUGGUUCACUUACUCCAUGCUUUCUUUAUUUCUAUGUAUAGCUGGAUUUUGGGUAUUAGUUAUUGCAGAAUUAAGUUUAGAUUGCUUUGUUUACAAAUUGUUGGAAUUGCAUGCUAUGGUGCUAACUUUAUUGAAUGAAAGGUUAUCCUUUUUCGAUGCAAUUCUUAUUUUUCCUAUGUUUCAGAUUGCUUGGAUAUUCAUUUCCAUUUGUACAGGAUUUGUGUAGUUUUAAGAAUUCCAGGAUUUGUAUAUAUUCACAUUCAGCCUCUAGAUGUACAUUUGGAAUUUAUCAAUCAAUUAAGUAUUAUUUCUUAACAA